UACGUAGGGGGCAAGCGUUGUCCGGAAUCAUUGGGCGUAAAGCGCGUGUAGGCGGCCAGAAAAGUCCGCUGUGAAAACUCGAGGCUCAACUUCGAGCUGUCGGUGGAAACUUUCUGGCUAGAGUCCGGAAGAGGAGAAUGGAAUUCCUGGUGUAGCGGUGGAAUGCGCAGAUAUCAGGAGGAACACCAAUAGCGAAGGCAGCUCGCUGGGACGUUACUGACACUGAGGCGCGAAAGCGUGGGGAGCGAACAGG
rnacentral:rRNA from 1 species